GUUAGGGAUUUUAAGUGAGACCAAACCCAUCCCUAAUAUCAGUGAACCACACGCCUUUCUUCUCCCUUUCUUCUUCUCUCCUCUUCUCUCCCUUCUCCCUCACUGCUGAGUUGCCACAACCACCAACGACAGCAGCCGUCAGUUUCUUCCCUCCCCCUGCACCAGCCGUGAGUCACCCCAAGCAGCAGGCAGCAGCAGCUGCGUUUUCUUAGAGUUUUCCACGGCAGCAGCUGUGUCUCCCCUCCAUCACUCUUCGCCCUCUUCUCCUGUUCCCUUUUCAGGAGGAUCAUAGACAGGUGUAGCAGGAAUUGGAGGUUCUUUUGCAUUGCAUUGCAUUGGGGGAGAGUGAUGAGGGCGAAGCAUAACCUGUGUCAUACCGUUAUCUUUCGAUUUUGCGCUCUUGUUUAUCUUUUGUUGUAAACUUUAGUUGUAUACGUUUUAUUAUGAGGCCUUGUGUCCUCCUUUGUAUAUUUGUAUUUCCGCUGCAUAGUUUAUAACUUUGUAUGGUUUUAAAGAGUUAAGUCAUUUUAAAACGCAAGCGUUGACACUGGAA